rnacentral:lncRNA from 1 species
AUGAUGUUGCAGAUCACAAGUCUGCUGGCAUUGACUCCACUGUUUGUCUGUUGUUUUUGUAUCUGCCCAGUCAAAAUCCACUUCCUGGCUGCUGGAGUUACCCUGGGAGCUGACAGGAUGUUCAAGGAGAAACUGGUAAAGCAGAUGAACUUUAAAGAGAGCCCCCUGCAGAAGUGUGACGCCAUCGUGACUUUCUGUCCUGUCAGCUCUCGGAUAGGGACUGAUAUUGACCACGCCCUCCAGAUGAUUCCAGGGGACAAGCCCGCCGCCCUGGUGGUGAUGCACCACACCUACAACCCCGAGGCAGUUGUGGCUGAGAGCAGCAGACUGGUGACCAGGAGAGACACUGUGACUGUGGACUGUCUGUUCCAUGAGACAGUCGGGCUGCUGGACAACUGUCCCAUCAAUGAGCAGGCUGUGAGACGGGUCUCUGAUAGAUUAAAGAAGUUUGUUGAGUAAAAAAAAUAAAUAAAUACUGCUCCACUGAGUGCAGCCUUUCACAAAGAAAAUUAUCCUUUAACAGUAGAUUAAUAAAAAAGCGUGAUGGUGAGGUAAUAUUCUUGAAUAUUAUGAACAAAAUGCCAAGAGUUUCAGUAGAGGUCAGGGACAGUUCAAAACAGACUUUCUGAAGGAUGAAGGAUAAAGGUAUUAAAACUGAAUGUAUAAAAUCUUUUGACUGCUGAACAGUCUGCUUGCGGUUUUAUAAAAUAUCCCUUGAUCAGCGACGUGCAGUGUUUUAUUUUCGUAACUGACGGUGCCAUGUACCCGUUACCCGGAAACUCUUAAAGACUUAC